AGACCGUGAUGUGGAAAAAGCCUCAUCAUGUCUUUGUAUCUCUCCCAAGCAUCAAAAAGUGAUUCAGUGUCUUUUUGUUUAAAGCCAUUAAUUUGGACUCUUAGCAU